rnacentral:rRNA from 1 species
GACGAACGCUGGCGGCGUGCUUAACACAUGCAAGUCGAACGGAAAGGCCCUGCUUUUGUGGGGAGCUCGAGUGGCGAACGGGUGAGUAACACGUGAGUAACCUGCCCUUGACUUUGGGAUAACUUCAGGAAACUGGGGCUAAUACCGGAUAGGAGCUCCUGCUGCAUGGUGGGGGUUGGAAAGUUUCGGCGGUUGGGGAUGGACUCGCGGCUUAUCAGCUUGUUGGUGGGGUAGUGGCUUACCAAGGCUUUGACGGGUAGCCGGCCUGAGAGGGUGACCGGCCACAUUGGGACUGAGAUACGGCCCAGACUCCUACGGGAGGCAGCAGUGGGGAAUAUUGCACAAUGGGCGGAAGCCUGAUGCAGCAACGCCGCGUGCGGGAUGACGGCCUUCGGGUUGUAAACCGCUUUCGCCUGUGACGAAGCAUGAGUGACGGUAAUGGGUAAAGAAGCACCGGCUAACUACGUG